rnacentral:sRNA from 1 species
AAAACGCAAUCCUCAUCCAGGACCCCUCGUUCUUUGACUCUCCAUUUCUCCCAUGCUUCCUCUACCAUUCCCCGACUGACCACUAUCUCGGUGUCUUUCCAUUCUCCCAGAUCUUCGUCCUCUAUUCGAUCUUCUCCCGAGGGAUCUUCUCCUCCGUCCGCUGUGGUCCCAGGCGGAUGAUAUCUUUCGCCAUGAACGUGGCCGUUUCGCUGGAUAGGGAAAGUAGCAGCACGACGUUGGUGAAGGAAGCCUAAUUCUGAGAGGGUGAAAGCUGUGUCGUCGAUCCUGAGGUGACAGACUUUCGCGAUCUCCAUUAAAGAGAGAGCCACUGUAUACUGGCCAGGGUGGCCCGUUAUAGGCAUCUUUUCACUUUUUCCCCUUUUUGUGGAUCUUCUUUUCUUACUCGCAGCGUACGACCACUUGCAGGCUUCAUGGGCGACUGCGACUUUGACAUCCUUCUGUCCUUCCUUGGCGAUUCGGUAGAUUUCAUUGGUUCAGCAUCUUUGAGUAAGAAUCGCAAGAAACGGAGGACGACGGAUACCCAGUAGGCGGUGUAGCCUUUGAGGCCAAGAUCGGAUAGAGGGCGUUCGGGUGUACCCGGCGAUAGGGAUUUUGGUCGUGUGGAUGGGUGCUUCGUUAGGUAAUAGCCUGUUGAUAAGCUGGCAGUUAGUGGUUGGAGUCAUGGGAUGGUCAAGGAACGUACUGAAUUCAAUAAGGAGUUUACCAAAUCCCCGAUUUUGGAAUGGCGGGAAAGUCACUAUACAAGCGAGGUUGUAGUCAUCGUAUGAGACUUUUUCCUGCACCCGCAGUGAGCAUGUUUUUUUCUUUUUUUUUGACUAGUUGAGAAGUUUGC